GAUGAAAUAUGAAGUUUUAUUAAAAGAAAAAGGGGUGAAAAGAACAAAGUUUUGUCCAUAUUUGUUCAUCAUAGCUGAAAGUUAGAGAAGAGAAAGGAGAGGAGAAAGCUCUUGAGUAUUCGGUCAUUAGGAGGAGGAAAAUUGAAGGUGAGUCUUGAUGUGGGUGACUUGGAGCCGGAGGGGAUUCAGAGUGGCCAUUGUGAACACUUUUGGGUUUGAAAAAGAGACUGGUUUUCUUAAGUUAUUUUUAAUUACUAUUUAAGUUUUGGGUUGUAAUAAGGCCAUUUUAACUUUAUUUUCUUCUUUGAUUUUCUGAGAUUAUAUUAUUUUAAACAA